GGGGGCGCCAGUGAGGCAUAUGAUACCGAGGAGCGCCUAAUUUCUAAAACAGAAGAAGUUCACUCGCUGGUUUGGGUUUGUACAGCUGAACGCGAGGUGGACGGAGUUGUGCGGAAGAAGUCGUUUAUUUUGCGGUUUUUGGAUCCCCAAGUACCUCACAGACGAGGAAAAUCCAUUUAAAUUCCACACUCGUGUGUGUGCGCUCGGACUUUUACAAACAGGUAGGCUCUAUCGUAGCCGAGAUAUAAAGUGUUUUGAGAAAGGCUUCUAGGCCUCGCAGGUUAAUCACCAUGAGUUACGGUAGGCCUCCGCCAGACGUCGACGGCAUGACUUCCCUCAAAGUGGACAACUUAACGUACCGAACUUCGCCCGAAACCCUAAGACGCGUGUUCGAAAAGUAUGGCCGUGUAGGAGACGUGUAUAUUCCCCGAGACCGUUACACGAAAGAAAGUCGGGGUUUCGCUUUUGUGCGGUUCCACGACAAGCGUGACGCCGAGGACGCAAUGGACGCCAUGGAUGGCGCGCUCCUGGAUGGACGGGAGCUGCGAGUCCAAAUGGCCCGCUACGGCAGACCCCCCGAUUCUCACUACGGCGGUAGUGGUGGUGGUGGAGGCGGCGGAGGAGGUGGAGGAGGCCGGCGCGGAGGGCAGACCAGGAGGUACGGCGGCCAUGGACGCAGAAGCAGAAGCUCUUCCCCCAGCCCGAGACACAGAAGACGCAGCAGGUCCCGCAGCAGGAGCCGCUCUCGUUCCCGAAGCCGAUCCCGCUACAGCAGAUCCAGGUCCCGCUCCUACUCCCGAUCCAAGUCUCAUUCUCCCAGGAACAAGAAGGCCAAGUCCCCGUCUCGUUCCAGAUCUAGAUCCAGGUCCCGGUCCAAGUCUAAGUCCAAGUCUAAGUCUAAGUCCAAGUCCAAGUCCAGGUCCAGAAGCCCUUCCUACAAAAGAAGUUCCAGGUCGAGAUCUAAAAGCCAGCCCAAGUCAGCAGCAGAAAAUGGAGGCGAAACCCCGUAGAGCUCAGCUUCAGCUGCGGCAUCCUGUUUGCUAAAGUGGAGUUUGAGCUGAGGCAGUAUGAGCAGUUAGAAGGUGUGUGGGGAGCUGCCCACAGGCCGCCUGCUGCUGGUGAGGGUUUCUGUGCAGCAGGGUGGAGGCAGUCAGUGUUGGGGUUUGGUGUUGAGUUUUCAGGUGAAGACCGAAAGCUUCAAGUCCAAGACUGGCUCCAACGCAAGCAACAGUGUCCUGCUUUAAAAGGUUAUUAUUGUGUCUUCCAUGUUUUGGUUUGUUUGAUUCAUUUUGGCCACGACAAAAAGGCUUCGUCACUUCAUUCAUGUGCUGUGAGUUUUAUUUUCAUAAGGAUUUUAGGAAAUCUGGUUCAGUGUGGAGAGCUGUUCUGACCUGGUUUUGUAACCGUGACAAAGGAUAAUACACAAGUUGCCCCUCUUCUUUAAGUUCUUCUCCCUAUGGGCCUGUUUAAAUAAGUGAGCAUGUUGUCCAGCUUUCUUUGACUUUCAUUGCUUUGUUGAGCCUCACAUUGAUCCUGGAUUACCUUUUGGCUUAAAUUUGGUUCUCAACUGACUCAGUCCAGUAAUAAUUUUACAUGAAAAGAGACAGACUUCAUAAUCCCAGGCAAGUUUUAAGCUGUUUUUUAUUUGAGUUAAAAGAAGAAAAGUGCUAGAAUAAUCCUUCGUAAUUACUACGGAAAGCAAAGACUAUACUAAUGUGUAAACAUUUCUUGGACUGCAACUUGAAUUUUUUAUUUACCAUCAAAAUGUGGACCACUUUCUUGAUUUUAAUUGUUUAGUCAAAGUUUUGCCUACUCAAACAAUUAAACAAUUGUCCAAAUUUUUCUUUUUCUUUAGAUCAAUUUAAAUAAUUUCAGCUUUUAACAACUGACUGAGUCCUUGUUUAUGUUUCAGUUUAUGAUAAAUGUAGUGCUUUCAUCCACCUCGAGAUCCUGUUUUUUUUUUUUUUUUUUUUGCAUUAGCCAUGGUGCUCUAUCAUGGUGAGUGAGCAGCUUCGUUAAAGCCUAAAUUUAGCUGGCAAACACCCUUUUUAAACUCUUUGUGAUACAGGCCUGUGGUGUCAACGCACAGUCAGGAUAGUUGGACACAUCUGAAGAAGCCAUGUCUUGUUUAUACAUCCAAAAUGACUUAAUCCACACCAACCUUUGCUUAUUUUAUUCAUAUCGGCGCAAAGAUUUCAUUAAACUAAAGUAAUCCCUCAAAACCGUAAUGAAGUGGCUUUCUUACGAUCUUUAAUUUCUGCAGCUCAGGGUGUCUUUGUUAGACAGGACAGCAGAUCAUUUUAACUCCUGUGAUGUGUUAAAUGUAAUUGCAUAUACAGUUAAAAAAAAAAAAAAGUGACUGGUGAUGUGAAGUCUAUCAGUUUGAAGAUUGUUUCACAUCGGUCACAUUUUGAGGUGUAUAAGAUCAUCUCCUUAAAUCUUUAGUUGACUCUUACAGGACCUCAUUUACUGGACUCUGGACACUCUUUUAUUUUUAUUUUUUUUUCAAAUUUUUUUUUUUUAACCCUAAUCCUGCUUGUUUGUUUUGUGCACUAGGCGCAGUUGUGUAGCAGUUGAGUAUUGCUGGUUAGCUGUUAAGGUGGCGUGUUGCUCUGCUGAGUGCUUGGAUGUAUCCAGUAUUCUCCAGAAUGCUCCUGUGACUGCCAGUGGUACGGUUGCUACAGUCUCACCCUUUGUAAGAUGAAAUGUUUUUUCCCAUAUGGCUAUGGAUGACAAAUGUAACUUUCAUUAAAGAUUUGGUGUUUUGUCUAAAA